rnacentral:lncRNA from 1 species
CAGUCGCCAAAAAUGAUUAACUGAUGACUAGUCCAUAUAUCACUUGUUAGAAAGUUAUAGGCUGGCUACUUAGAACAUAUUGAACAAAUACAUAUAAUGAUGUCAACAUAAUAAAAAUUGAGUAAACUGUCCUCAAGAUUUAUUGUUUGUUGUUCAAUUAAAGUGGGUACGUUUGGUGUCGCCACCUCAAGAAUCAAAAAGAUUUAAAAAGUAUAACAAGAAGAGACUUGCUGCAAUUGCGUAAACCACAAAUAUGUUAAUCGCUUUAAUAUUGGUAUCAAAAAAUGCUUCAGUAUUUAUAGUAUAUAUGUAUAACUUCUGUUCUUAAAAAUUGCAUUUCAUAACUAA